UAUAAGCAGAUGCAGUGAGUUUGAAUUAACUUAUUAUGCCUGCUCUUGCAAGUGGGGAGUUUGACUGCUAUUUCCAGUUCUUCAACUAUACCUUGGUUUCUGUAAGACCAACAAUGAAGAACAGAAGGAAUUCAAAGAGGAGAGCAAGUUGUAGAGCCCUUCUAUCACCCCUCUAGUCAUUUCUUUCCUCUUGACUGGCUAUGCUGGUGUUUUGAAAUAGGGGCAACCUAUUUCAACGUGGCUCACUGCCUCUACCAUGUCAUCUGGCUUGCAUUGCUGAAUGGUGCUUAGAGUCCCUGAGAACUCCCCUAAACCUGUUUCCUUUUAUAAGGGCAGCUGGCAGUUGUCAUCUAACUUUUUGGGGUUUUUUUCAUUUUAGCUGUUUGCUAGAUGCAGUUUCACCCUUCUAGUCAUGCAGGCUUUUGCAUUUGGA
rnacentral:lncRNA from 1 species